rnacentral:lncRNA from 1 species
CACAAAAGCUGUAAUUGAUAAGGCGCGAACUCCCCUCAACACCCCAUUUAAACUUUCCGAUCGGUUAGUUGUCAUAAUACCAAAUCGUCGACCACCAUCAAAAGCUUUAGCCCAGUAUAUCCUAUCGUUAUAAAGAUUGUCAACCCAACGCUAAGCUUCUUCAUCCAUAGCCUUCAAUUCUUCCUUUAAUGCGUAAUAUUGCCGUUCUUCUGAAG